UACGGAGGGGGCUAGCGUUGUUCGGAAUUACUGGGCGUAAAGCGCACGUAGGCGGCUUUGUAAGUUAGAGGUGAAAGCCCAGGGCUUAACCCUGGAAUUGCCUUUAAGACUGCAUCGCUAGAAUUGUGGAGAGGUAAGUGGAAUUCCGAGUGUAGAGGUGAAAUUCGCAGAUAUUCGGAAGAACACCAGUGGCGAAGGCGACUUACUGGACACAUAUUGACGCUGAGGUGCGAAAGCGUGGGGAGCAAACAGG
rnacentral:rRNA from 1 species